rnacentral:lncRNA from 1 species
CUCAGAGUAGAUAAAGAUUGAUAAAAAUUGAGUUGUGAUGUGGUAUGAAAGUUUCACUUAUAGCAUUAAUUAUAUCUGGUUGAAUAUAAAGUUUUACUCGUGCUUGUUGAAAGGGAUCACAACAUCAAGCAACUUCAGCAAUCUGGUUAGUGGUUAGACAACAACACAAAUCACACAGUGCCCAGAGAUCUCAUUCAUAUUGGACUUUUUAUUCGUACAAAUGUGCACAAAAGGUCUGAUUUUGGAUUCAUUCUUGUAUCUCUCUUUGCCCUUUGGAAUAACUAAAAAGGUGUUUUGAAGUUUGAACGAAAAGAGACAGAAAAAAAGGACAAAAGAGACUAAUGGCGGCGAUAAGUAGAUGAGAAGGGUCAGAAAUGUAGAUCAAAACCCACUGACGAUAGGGAGAUUGAAAAAAAAAAAAAAAAAAGAAGGCAAACCGAAUCAACCCAAAAUGCUUUUACCGAAACCGAACCAAAAUUUGAUUGCAAACCAAAUGGCGAUCCAGUCCUUUUCGUGGCGUGUACGUUGCAACUUAUGAUCACUGAUAUAAGAGGUUAUAAUAUUGUUAUAGCUCCAUUAAAGUCUUCUUGUCAUGUAGGGGUGGGCGUUCGGGUACCCGUUCGGGUUCGGAUCGGGUAUUUCGGAUGUUCGGGUAUUUCGGUAAAGGGGUAUAAAACCCGUUCGGGUAUUUUCUCAUUUCGGGUCGGGUUCGGGUAUUUUCACUUCGGGUUCGGAUAAUUUCGGAUAUAUCCGAACUCCAGACAUAAAAAAAAAAAAUUUAAAAUGCAUAUUCUGUUUUGCCUUCAAAUAAUUCCUGAUAAUAUAAAUAGUCUAAAACACACAUGAAAUGGAAAAAAAACAACAGUAAUCCAUCCAUAAACAUAGUGAAAACAUCAACAAAGUUCCUAGAUUAAGCAAACAAACUGAAACAAGCUAAAAGAGUUUCUACUUCCAAGCAUAGAUGAUGAUACAAACCAAAAAGCUUCCUUGUAUCCUUCACACUGUAAGUGAAAAAAAAAAACAGAUUUGUCAAAUUAUAAUACUGAACAAUAAUCACAAAUUAGUAACAAAUUCAUAUAACUUUUGUAAUACCUUCAAAGCAGAGCAAUAAUUUGCUUUGUUCUUCUAUUCAUCUUGAUGUGUUGCAGGUUCAUACUCUGCAAUAUUUUAUCAAAAACAAUAAAAAAAAAUUGUUAACUUAUACAGCAAGGGAAAACAAAGCACAAAAUAGUAAAUAUACAAACCUCUCUGAAGCUUAUCUUCUGCUUCAACUUCUGCAAGUAUUUGAGCAUUUGUUAGAAUCUUUGACUCCAGUUUAAGGUCUUGUUUCAGCCACUGCUCUGUACACAUCAAAACCUCCACCAUGUAGUGAGUUAAACAACUCCUAUAUGGUUCUAUUAUCCUGCCACUAGUGCUGAAUGCACUUUCAGAUGCAACUGAUGAAACUUGCAUAGCGAAUACAUCUCGAGCAAUCUGUGAAAGAAUUGGAUACUUGCCACUGUUGACUUUCCACCAAGAAAGCACAUCAUAAUCUGUUCCCAACAUCAGGUUAGGUACUUUCAUCUACUUCAGUUAAUCCGUCCUUCACGAUCAAAUUAAUUAUGUGACCAGCACACCUCAUAUGCAUAAACUCUCCUUUCAUGACCAGUGCUUCAUCCGAGAGAGAAGAGAAACUAUGUUCAAAAUGCAACAAACCAUUGCUAUUGGCUGUAGCAUUGUCGACUGUCACACAGAAAACCUUAUCUAUUCCCCACUCAGCUAGGCAUUCUGAAAGAGUAGAUGAGAUGGUUUUACCUUUGUGAUCUGUGACAUACUUGAACCCGAUGAUCAAUUUCUUUAAGCGCCAGUAAGCAUCGAUGUAAUGGGCUGUUAUAACCAUAUAGCUACAACCUGUAAAACCAUUAAUAAAAAUUAGAAACAUAUAACAAUUGUUUUUGCUGACUGAGAAACAUUACCUGUUACUUUUGCUGUCCAAAUGUCUGUGGUCAAUGACACUCUUUGCUUGCUAGAUUUGAACCAUUGUUUAAGAGCAGCCUUUCUCUUACUAUACAUCUCCACAAUUUUUCUUGUCACUGUCCUUCGUGAUUGAGGAUCAUCCAAGUUCAUCUAAACACAAAGCACAUAUAUAUAUUAAUCGCACAUUGAAUCAAAAAAAUGCUUUAUGAAAUUUUUUUUUGGUAAUUCCUUACCUUAUCACAGAAGUGCUUCCAUCCUAUACUCUCUGAAAAAGAUAGUGGCAACUCUGAAAGUACAAUCAAUUCAUUUGUUGCUUCCCAAAAAACAGUCUCUGAAACUUUGGCACUCUUGAGACCACCUUCUUUACUUAUAGCUUGUUGGUUUUGCCCAUGUUUUUGACCAUCUUCCCAUGCCUUGAACUGCUUACAACUCUGAAGAUGAUUGCGCAAGUUUGUUGUUCCAGACUUUGUUGGACAUGCGAAAGACUUCAUACAGUAAUUGCAGAUGCAUUUGUCCCUAUUGUCUUCUAGUCUUUUGAAAUGACUCCACACGUCUGACCUUGUAGGAAGUACACGUUUGGCUCUACUUGCUUCUGCUUCACUAUUAUUUUCAUUUGAAUCAGUUUGCUUCCUUUUCCCUCUAUGAUCAGUAUCUUGAGUCAUGAACUCAUUUCCAUCUUCAUCUCCAUGUAAGCCUCUGCUAUCUUGAAAGGGAGAUGAUGAUGAACCCAUCUGUUAAUAUUAAUUCACAAAGAAAUUAAGAACUCCACUCACUAUGAUAUUUUAUAAGUCAAAAGAAAACAAAUAAAUCAUGCAAAACAAAACAGUCGUGCAAAUGAUUCUUUCUGCAUACAGAACAAACUGACAAAACAAGUAAAUCAAGUUUAAAGCCAUUAACUGAAAUAUACUAAAAUACAAAAUAAGAAACAAGUUAAGCUCGAACAGAAUCUCAUGCACGUGAUCAAAACUGAAUCAGACUCUAAGGCUUUGAUCAUCAUACACGAAAAUUCUAAGCAGAAGACAAACACAAUCAAAGGGAAUCAUACAUCUAAUCAUCAUACAUACAGAAUCAAAACAAAAUCAAUAAAAAAAAAAUAGAAAAUCACCUCAGAUAGUUUUCUCGAUGUCGAUGUCACCGAGUGAGACGGAGAAGAGGGAAGAUUAUUAAGGGUUUCCAGUUUGUCAAUUUAUGAAAUUAAAUUUUAAUAGAUGAAGGAUUUGGGAAUCGUUAAUUUCGGGAACUCUAAACGACGAGUAGAUUGCUAGACUAGAUUUUGGGAAAGGAAAUAAAAUCAUAAAAGGUAAGGUCUAUGUUAGGGUUAUUUAGUUUCGGUUAUGUUCGGG